UGGGGAAUAUUGCGCAAUGGGGGAAACCCUGACGCAGCGACGCCGCGUGAGCGAAGAAGGCCUUAGGGUUGUAAAGCUCUGCUUUAAGGGACGAAUGUCGUGGGGAGUAAUAUGCUCUGCGAAUGACGGUACCUUAAGAGGAAGCCCCGGCUAACUACGUGCCAGCAGCCGCGGUAAGACGUAGGGGGCGAGCGUUGUCCGGAAUUACUGGGCGUAAAGAGCACGUAGGCGGGAACUUAAGUCAGGUGUGAAAGACCGGGGCUCAACGCCGGGGUUGCACUUGAAACUGGGUUUCUUGGGGGCAGGAGAGGAAAGCAGAAUUCCUGGUGUAGCGGUGAAAUGCGUAGAGAUCAGGAGGAAUACCAGUGGCGAAGGCGGCUUUCUGGGCUGACCCUGACGCUGAGGUGCGAAAGCGUGGGUAGCAAACAG
rnacentral:rRNA from 1 species